UGUCUUUUUAGGGCAGCAGGUGCGGCAUAUAGAAGUUCCCAGGCUAGGGGUUGAAGUGCAGCUGUAGCUGUCGGCCUAUCCCCCCACAGCCACAGGAAUGCCAGAUCCGAGCCUCGACAGCGACCUAACCACAGCUCAUCACGACACCGGAUCCUUAAUCCACUGAGCGAGGCCGAGGAUCAAACCCACGUCCUCCUGGAUAUUAGUCGGGUUCAUUACCACUGAACCACAGUGGGAACUCCCACACUCUACCUUUCCCAGGGAGCCUUUCCUGAUCUAGGCCACCCAGCUCUGACCACUCCUUUCCCCAUCGCCUUUUCUUUGAGGUUGGAACCAGUACCACAUUGUUCACAAAUGGGCAGUGAUGGUGAUGAAGACGGUGGCUGGCAUUUCUUGAAGGCCUCCUACAGGCAGGUGUGGUGCCGCCCUCUCCAGGCGUCUGCUCCCCACCUCCCCUGAGCACCUUCAUUCGAUGAACGUGGUCACUGCUUCAGCGGACAUUUCUUAGGCACCUGUUCUGUGCCACUCUCCGAGGCCACAGGAAACAAGAAAUCAGUGCCUGCUGCUCCCGGGGAGUUCACAGGCUGAGGCAGAAGAGCAGGUGUGGGUGAUGGGAUGUGGCGGAAGCUCUAAGAGAGGCCACGAGCAUCCUGGGGACCAGCGAGUGGGGAGCGGGCGAAGCUGGCUCUGGUGGUGAACAGGCGGCCUCAGGAUCCUGGCGAGGCAAGACAUGCACAGGCCCACCCCAGGGCCUGCCGGAAAAAGGGCACAGGUCCAUGGUGAUCAAGGAGCCAGUCAGAGGGAGCUGGGUCUGCCUUGCACAAGUUUCCUUUCUUUUUUUCCUUUUUUAUGGCCGCACCUGCGGUAUAUGGAGAUUCCCAGGCUAGAGAUAGAAUUGGAGCUGUAGCUGCUGGCGUGCACCACAGCCACAGCAACGCCAGAUCUGAGACGCAUCUGCGACCUACACCACAGCUCACGGCAAUGCUGGAUCCUUAACCCCCUGAGCAAGGCCAGGGAUCAAACCCGAGUCCUCAUGGAUACUAGUUGGUUUCUUAAUAGCCACGACAGGAAGUCUUGCAGUCUGAUUCUUAACCCACUCCGCCACAGCGGGAACUCCAGGCACAUGUGUCUGAGAGCCAUCAGGGGCUGUGUAGAGGCACAUGGAAGAGGAAACCCAGAGCAGGAGGCUGCCUGCCCCCCACUUCAACCCUAAGCCAGGACUCUAGGCCUGGGGCCCCACAGCUGCAGGGUCGGAGUUCGGGUCCCUUCCAUUCGGCCAGUGUCCCAUGAACACUUACUGUGUUGGGGCUGCCCAGACGAGGAGGAUGAAUGAGUCCUGGACUUUGCCCUCAAGGAGUCUGGGACCAGCACAAGGAUAAGAUAAGCUCGCAGAGCUCUGAACCCUGCAGUGAAUGAGAUAAGGCGGCUGUGGGAGAGGCCCACGGAGCUGGGCAGGUAGAGGAAGGGGGCAGAAACCUCAGCCAGGGAAGGAGCCUCUGAGCUGGGCCUCCACAGAGGGACCAGAGCAGGCGGCUGAACAUGCCGCCUCUUCCCCCAAACAGGUUUCUGUCAGAUACCUCUCGAGGCUGUGGAGAUUAAUGUAUGCAAGCGCCCAGCGUGCAGAAAGGGUCCAAGAACCGGUUCCUGUGAUUAAGCAAUUUGGACUGUAUUCCCAGGUCUUGUUACCAAUGUUUAAAUUCUAAUUUUUUAGUAGCUGAAACCUUUUUAUUCAAAUAAAACUGUUCCAGCUCAGAUCUGGCUUGGCUCUGGGCUGGGCAGCCUGGGGAGAAGAGCCUGGCAAGAGAGGAGAAAGGGCCAGGGUGGCCUGGGGGCUGGGGGGCUCCAGCACAGGCUGGAACCUAGAGUCCUGGGCUCCCCUUGGCCACACUGGCUGGUGGUGGUGCUUCCUCAGGGUGCCAGAUGGAGGCUCAGGACCUGUUUAGACAAUUUCUUGAGCACACACCUGGGCUCGGCUUGGGCUGGGGGCUGAGCUCAUAGGUGCUGGGGAGAGAAAACACUGGGAGAAACACAGGGUGCCUGGGCGCCUGGCCAGCGACUUACAGCUUUAGGAAGGCUUCCCGGAGGCAGCAAAUGCUUGGGCAGAGCUUGGAACAGUUAUUAAAAGUAAGCCUGUCAGAUCCCACAUUGCUGUGGCUGUGGCGCAGGCCGGCAGCUAUAGCUCCAAUUUGUCUCCUAGGCUGGGAACUUCCAUGUGCCGCAGGUAUGGCCCUAAAAAGGAAAAAAAGAUUUGGGAGUGCCCGUCGUGGCUCAGCAGAAACGAAUCUGACUAGUAUCCAUGAGGAUGCAGGUUCGAUCCCUGGCCUCACUCAGUGGGUUAAGGAUC
rnacentral:lncRNA from 1 species